UACGUAGGGGGCUAGCGUUGUCCGGAAUCAUUGGGCGUAAAGCGCGUGUAGGCGGUCCGGUAAGUCCGCUGUGAAAGUCGGGGGCUCAACCUCGAGAUGUCGGCGGAAACCCUCUGGCUAGAGUCCGGAAGAGGAGAGUGGAAUUCCCGGUGUAGCGGUGAAAUGCGCAGAUAUCGGGAAGAACACCCGUGGCGAAGGCGGCUCUCUGGGACGGUACUGACGCUGAGACGCGAAAGCGUGGGGAGCGAACAGG
rnacentral:rRNA from 1 species